UCACCCUUACCUAACGGGUUUUGAGAAGUUCAGGGGGGAGUAUGUAGCUGAGAUAUAAUGUACGAAUUGUGAACAUUCUCAAAACUGUAUUGUACAUAGGUUAUACUUUUUUAUUGUGUGAACUUUAUUUUUGUGGAACUAAGGUUCCGUGUGUUAUUGUUGAAGUGGGACAUUAAUCAGUGUAACGCCACCUGCGGCCACAUUGCGGGUGUGGGGUUUCCUAGCCAGAGCUGUACGGACUCCACACUGGGUGAGGAGAAGCCUGCUGCCGCUGUGUGACACUGAUUUUGCUGCUGCACUCUGUUUUAUAGGAAUAAACCCUGUUUCCAGCCAGUCCGUGUCUGUUGUCACAACGCAGUCGACCAUUUCACAUCUGCUACACAGGCAGCUACUCAGCCUUUAAGCGGAGGGACAGUCUGGCCAGCUGAUGACCCAACCAGAGGUCUUAUAGCUUACAAAAGAGGAUGUUGGCUAUAUAGAUCAAGCUAGACACUUUCUGGUCUUCUUAGCAGAGCUGCUCGAUCCCAAAUCUAGAAAUCUGGCCAAAUUUAUUAAACACCACAAAACAUUUUGGAUUUGGAUGAUUAAACAUUAGAUCUCUGUCUUCUAAGUCCCAGUAAGUACACAAAUUAAUAACUGAUCAACAAAUUGAUUUACUCUGAAUUAGAUAAACUGGUUACAGCCUAGUUAGUUUAAAUUAAUCAACACCCCCGAGUCAUACUAAUUGUCAGAAUCCCUAAAACAGAGGCCAAGGACGGCAUGUGGCAGCAAUCUUCCACUCCAGCUCAUUAAUGAACCAAAGACCCAGACAGAGUUUUAAUUCAUUUAAAAAUCUGAUGCUUAGCUUAGCUAGAAAGCUCCAA